GUUUCCGUGGUUCGGGACAAUCCCACGUAAAAAAACUAAGGAGUG
rnacentral:ncRNA from 1 species